rnacentral:lncRNA from 10 species
UUUUAUUUGUUUUUUGUUUUUGUUUGUUUGUUUUGUUUUAUUUUCAUUGCUAUAUCCCCAGCACCUAGAACACUGCCUGGAACAUGGUAAAUGCUCCAAAUCUAUUUUAAAAUAUUUGUUGAAAUAAGAAUGAAUACAUGCAGGUUAUGUAUAAUUCUGGUCACUAGAGGGUAGUAUUCUUUGGUGACUCAGGACUUAUCCUUGGCCUGGACAAAAUAGCCUUUCAAGACUCUCUCCCUUUGCUUUCUGAAGGACUCAAUGAAGUACGUGAGAGAAACAGAAGGAUAAAGAGUCCCAAGCCAUUUGUCUCGCUUCAUUAUUAAAACAAACUGGCAAAGUGGUGCCCAUCCCCAAUCUCUGUCAAGGAUCCCCAAAUAUUUCAGGUUACACUCCUUGGAGGGUCUUAAUCUUCGGGAUAACUUCCAGCAAAGGCACAAGAGCUGUUACAUCACUUUGGAGAUCUUUCUCAUCACAGGAAAAUCUACCAGCAAGCACUCUUUCCCGGUUUCGCCAGUGCUGAGUUAGAUAUUAAGUCAUGAGAAGGACAACCUGGCCUAGAGGCUGUUAAUUAAUAAACAAACCUCAUAUGCAAACUAAGCUACUCAGCUCCAGUUAGCAAAUUCCGAUAAGAAAAUGAAGUGAGUGGAAAAGUACUUCCUGCUAAUUAGGUGAAAGGAGACACUGAGUUUUCAAGUUCUGAACAAAGAGCUGUUUUGUGUCUGUCUUCCUCCUGGAGAGAUGGGAAGAAGGUAUCUUUGGGCCAAGAGUUCCAAGAGAGAGCUGAGAGAGGAUCAGGCUGUUACCUGAAAGAGUGAAUAAAGGACAAGCUGAUGCAUUUUCCAAGAGUGAGUGUA